AGUGAACGCUGGCGGUAGGCCUAACACAUGCAAGUCGAACGGCAGCACAGUAAGAGCUUGCUCUUACGGGUGGCGAGUGGCGGACGGGUGAGGAAUACAUCGGAAUCUACUUUUUCGUGGGGGAUAACGUAGGGAAACUUACGCUAAUACCGCAUAUGACCUACGGGUGAAAGCAGGGGAUCUUCGGACCUUGCGCGAUUGAAUGAGCCGAUGUCGGAUUAGCUAGUUGGCGGGGUAAAGGCCCACCAAGGCGACGAUCCGUAGCUGGUCUGAGAGGAUGAUCAGCCACACUGGAACUGAGACACGGUCCAGACUCCGACGGGAGGCAGCAGUGGGGAAUAUUGGACAAGGGGCGCAAGCCUGAUCCAGCCAUACCGCGUGGGUGAAGAAGGCCUUCGGGUUGUAAAGCCCUUUUGUUGGGAAAGAAAAGCAGCAGGUUAAUACCCCGCUGUUCUGACGGUACCCAAAGAAUAAGCACCGGCUAACUUCGU
rnacentral:rRNA from 1 species